rnacentral:tRNA from 1 species
GCCGGUAUAGCUCAGACGGUAGAGCACCUGAUUUGUAAUCAGGGGGUCGCGGGUUCGAUUCCUGCUGCCGGCACCA